rnacentral:rRNA from 1 species
GACGAACGCUGGCGGCGUGCCUAAUACAUGCAAGUAGUACGCUGAAGAGAGGAGCUUGCUCUUCUUGGAUGAGUUGCGAACGGGUGAGUAACGCGUAGGUAACCUGCCUUGUAGCGGGGGAUAACUAUUGGAAACGAUAGCUAAUACCGCAUAACAAUGGGUGACACAUGUCAUUUAUUUGAAAGGGGCAAUUGCUCCACUACAAGAUGGACCUGCGUUGUAUUAGCUAGUAGGUGAGGUAACGGCUCACCUAGGCGACGAUACAUAGCCGACCUGAGAGGGUGAUCGGCCACACUGGGACUGAGACACGGCCCAGACUCCUACGGGAGGCAGCAGUAGGGAAUCUUCGGCAAUGGGGGCAACCCUGACCGAGCAACGCCGCGUGAGUGAAGAAGGUUUUCGGAUCGUAAAGCUCUGUUGUAAGUCAAGAACGAGUGUGAGAGUGGAAAGUUCACACUGUGACGGUAGCUCUACCAGAA